rnacentral:rRNA from 1 species
UACAGAGGGUGCUAGCGUUGUUCGGAAUCAUUGGGCGUAAAGGGCGUGUAGGCGGUUUGUUAAGUCAUGUGUGAAAUCCCUCGGCUCAACCGGGGAACGACGCAUGAAACUGGCAAGCUAGAGUACCAAAGAGGGGGGUGGAAUUCCCGGUGUAGCGGUGAAAUGCGUAGAGAUGUGGAGGAAUACCGAUGGCGAAGGCAGCCUCCUGGGCCAACACUGACGCUCAUGCGCGAAAGCGUGGGGAGCAAACAGG